UUUCACAAUCACAGUUGUUCGUAUUUGCGAAAACUCCCAUAUCAGAAAUUUCGCCAACCAAAUCAGGCAACAUCUAUCAGUUAAUCCGGCUCGUUUGCAAGCCGGCCUACCCAAUUUUCGAGCUUCCCGCUCCAUCCUUCGCAGAUCUAUCAUAAACUAAACAAAUUUCGCGAUUUGAUUUGAUAUUGGUAGAUUCUGUGAAGGUAUUGAUUCGUCUUUUGUUUUUGUUUUGAUGGCGACGAGGAAUCGGACGAUUCUGUUUAGAAGGUAUAGGGAUGCGUUGAAGAGCGUUAGGGCUCCGGUGGGCUCCUCGAGCUCCGGCGGAAGAGCGGUGAUCGAGCUCUCCACGGCGUCCUUGCUUAACCCUAAUCGAUCUUACACUCCUCUUAGCACUGAAGAUCCCGGAACCUCCAGUAGGGGAACAGUUGCAGUAGGUUUACCACCAGCUUGGGUGGAUAUAUCUGAAGAAAUAGCGACUAACGUACAACGUGUGAGAGGGAAGAUGGCCGAGUUAUCAAAGGCUCAUGCCAAGGCUUUAAUGCCUUCAUUUGGAGAUGGUAAAGAGGAUCAACGUCAGAUUGAGGCACUAACACAAGAGAUAACCGAUCUUUUGAAAAAGUCAGAAAAAAGGUUACAAAGACUCUCUGCUGGUGGGCCUUCAGAGGAUUCAAAUAUCAGGAAAAAUGUCCAGCGUUCGUUAGCUACUGAGCUCCAGACCCUCUCAAUGGAGCUACGAAAGAAACAAUCAACAUAUUUGAAACGGCUCCGGCAGCAGAAAGAGGGUUCUGAUGGGGUUGACUUGGAAAUGAACAUAGAUGGAAGCAAGUCGACAAGAGAUGAUGAUUAUGAUAUGGAUGACAUAGGAUUCAGUGAACAUCAAAUGGCCAGACUAAAGAAAAGUGAAGCGUUCACUGCAGAAAGGGAGAGAGAAAUUCGACAGGUGGUGGAAUCUGUCAGUGAACUUGCUCAAAUUAUGAAGGAUUUGUCAGUUUUAGUCAUCGAUCAGGGGACUAUUGUUGAUAGGAUCGAUUACAAUAUAACAAAUGUUGCAGCCUCGGUCGAAGAUGGUUUGAAACAACUUCAGAAGGCAGAGAGAAGUCAAAAACAAGGUGGCAUGGUUAUGUGCGCGACAAUUCUUAUUAUUAUGUGUUUGGUGAUGCUAGUACUUUUAGUUUUGAAGGAGAUUAUCUUCUAAGCUAAGCUGGUAUGGUUAUAUGAUUAUACUCUCAAGCCAAUGAGUCGGAUUUCCAAGUUUUCCCAGUCACCGACUAUCUUACUAAAUGUCGAAAAAAGUUGCAGUUAAUUCCUCCUCAUGGUUUCUUUCUUCCCUAUAGAAUUUCCGGCAUCAUGUAUAGGCUUGAGGAUUCCAUAUUCAUUCUUCCUUUUCAACCUUUUUGUGUAGGAGGAUAUUGUAGUUGUACACGAAUGGACGCCUUUGUUUUAGCCCAAAUCUUCUCUUGCAAGGACUCAUUCUUCAACGCAGCAUUUAAGAUGAAUGACAAGGGAGAGGGAUGUUGAUGGCAAGCUAAUGCACACAUGCUGUGAGAAGGAACUGUAAGGUAAACAUUGAAAAACGGCAAACAGAGAGAAGGGGAGCAACACAAGGAAAAAGAGGAUGCAGAAAGUUAUGCAUCAUAGUAUCAUUUUUUCCGCAAAACGUUAGUGGUAAUUGGUAAAGGAUAUUUAAAGCCACCGACUCUAAUUUAAACCGAAUUUCAAAAA